rnacentral:rRNA from 1 species
GACGAACGCUGGCGGCGCGCUUAACACAUGCAAGUCGAACGGAAAGGCCUGCUUUCCCUUGUGGAUUGCGGGUACUCGAGUGGCGAACGGGUGAGUAACACGUGAGUGAUCUGCCCCCAACUUGGGUAUAAGCCUGGGAAACUGGGUCUAAUUCCCGAUAGGACUGCAGGGUGGUGCCUGUGGUGGAAAACGAUUUUCUAGUGGUUGGGGAUGAGCUCGCGGCCUAUCAGCUUGUUGGUGGGGUAAUGGCCUACCAAGGCGGCGACGGGUAGCCGGCCUGAGAGGGUGGACGGCCACAUUGGGACUGCGAUACGGCCCAGACUCCUACGGGAGGCAGCCGUGGGGAAUAUUGCACCAUGGGCGGAAGCCUGAUGCAGCGACGCCGCGUGGGGGAUGACGGCCUUCGGGUUGUAAACUCCUUUCGACCGCGAGGAAGCCACCUGGUUGGAAGGGUGGUGACGGUAGUGGUAGAAGAAGCACCGGCUAACUACGUG